rnacentral:rRNA from 1 species
UAUACCUACGGGAGGCAGCAGUGGGGGAUAUUGCACAAUGGGGGAAACCCUGAUGCAGCGACGCCGCGUGAGCGAUGAAGUAUUUCGGUAUGUAAAGCUCUAUCAGCAGGGAAGAAAAUGACGGUACCUGACUAAGAAGCCCCGGCUAACUACGUGCCAGCAGCCGCGGUAAUCCGUAGGGGGCAAGCGUUAUCCGGAUUUACUGGGUGUAAAGGGAGCGUAGACGGCAGGGCAAGUCUGGAGUGAAAGGCAGGGGCCCACCCCCUGGACUGCUCUGGAACCUGUCCGGCUGGAGUGCAGGCGAG